GCCAGCGACGCCGGCUGAGCCGGGCUUGGAGGCAGCCAGGUAAGCAGGACCGGCUCUUCAGGGAAGGACAUCCCCACAACCAGGACCCCUGGCAAAGAGGAAUUAAAGACCCAGUUGUGUUGUGAUGUUCAUUAUUCAGAUCUCGGAGCGCUCACGGAUCUCUUGGAUGUCCCCUGCCAGCUCAACUGAUGAGACUGCUACUUUAUGUACCACUGCUUGAAAAAGAAGGGAAUCUCCUAUUUCUCACACAGGAUAACAGUUGAGAGUCAUUGCCACAAUAAAACAGACAUGUUAGCGGUCAGGUUCAUAUAAGGACUAAGCGGCCCCAUGAAUCACAUAGGACUGGCUAAUCCUAGGACACUCCUCUCUGUGGUUUGCUAGGUAGCAGAGAGGGGAAGCUAAAUAGUAGUUUCUAAUAACAACUGGGAAGGCUUUUUCUUUUUAAAUAAAAAUGGAAUUGGCAUAAUUGGGAAUGAAGAUAAAGCUUGGAACCAAGUUAGAGAAGGCAAAGUGUACGUAGAAGAGCUGUUACAAAUAUAAAACUUGGCUGCGUUCUUUGUGAAGGCUCAAACUUGGGAAGGUUAAAUACCAUAAAUUUUUUCAUUUGUUCUGUAUUUUGAUCCUGAAAAGAAAGCUGGCUUUGCCCAUGUAUUACUUUAAAAACUUGGGGGAAAGGAGAAGAAAGGGACAAGUUUUUAAAAACUGUUUGAAAACAUUACAGCUGAAAGAAGCUACAUAGGAGCUGGGUAGAGAACCUAGUGACUAAGAGAAUGAGGAAUGCCGAGUACGCAUCCUGUGGGCGGGGCUCUACCCUUGCCGCUUUCAGGUACGUCCUGGGAGACUGGACCUCAGUAGCUUCAUCAUUUCUGGAACGGGGACUUGAGGUGGGAUUGGAUGAGAGAGACUUUCAGAAUGGCCAUCCCACAACCACCUCUAAAUCCUGGAAGAUGUUCCUGGAAUACUGCCCAUGGGACCCCUGGAGCCACAUCCCUAAGGAUAGACUAGGGAAUCAAAUAAGCUGGAACACUGCCCAGGAUCCUCUGUCCAUCCCCUCUUCCUUGCAUGUGGACAGAGGGCUAUUGCAUCCCCAGCUACUGCAAACCAUUGGAUAGUUUAAGGGACUGGUCAUUUGGUUGAUUUUCUGUAAAUUAAUCUGGAGACAUCUUCUCUAGCAUAAACCUGAGGGAGGGAAAGCCAGUCCAUUCCUACCAGAACAGGAUAACGUGGAAGAAAGAGGAAAAGAGGGUGGGAGUCAAAAAUGUCUAGUUUGCCACCAACUGCCAAGCACCACUCUAAGGUUGUGAAGGCUGCACAUGGCAGUAGCUCCAGGACUUACUGCAUGAGAAGAGAGAGCAAAGAGGAUAUGGAGAGAGGACCUGAUGCUCCCAAAGCUCACACUCCUUGACCAUGUAGUGCCUAUGGAAGAAGAAAUCUAAGAAUGUUAUGACUGCGACUUAGAGGGGCAAUGGCUUAGCUCUGAUCCUGCCACAUGGGAUGAAAGUGAAAUCCUGCAGGCAGAACCAAAAAGAGCAGAAGGUGGGUGAAGUGUUAGUGGAAAUGGAUAGUAUUUGGCUAGAAGAUCCAAGGGAAGCCUGAAUCCCAUCUAACCAUCACUUCUCCCUCUGUGAGGCUCCGGCAAGAGCUGCUCAUACAAGGAGCAAGAGCAGAAAGGCACUCAAGUGUCACAUGAUAGCGGAACCAGAGCCUAAUCCCUUCCAGAGCAGGUCAAAGCUGGGGUGGAGCAGGUAGCUUAGGAGCUCCCUAAGCCUGAGUCCAAGUCUUGGGGGUCUUGUCUUCUUCUGGUGGGUUCCAUGGUAUGGGAGGCUGAAGCAAUCAGCAAUAUGCUCAGGCCAAUCCUCAGUGGGAGAGAGGCAUGGUGCGGCCCAUGAUUCUGGUGCAUUAAGUGUAAGUGAGAGUGGAGCCUGGCUGUGCCACCACCUCUGUAAUAAUGCUGCCACCUCUGUAACGAUGCUGCCACCUCUGUAACGAUGCUGCCACGUCUGUAACGAUGCUGCCACGUCUGUAACGAUGCUGCCACCUCUGUAACGAUGCUGCCACCUCUGUAACGAUGCUGCCACCUCUGUAACGAUGCUGUCACCUCUGUAACGAUGCUGCCACCUCUGUAAUGAUGCUGCCACCUCUGUAAUGAUGCUGCCCACCAAUAAACAAGACCCAGGUGGUUCCCUCAGU
rnacentral:lncRNA from 1 species